rnacentral:rRNA from 1 species
AACGAACGCUGGCGGCAGGCUUAACACAUGCAAGUCGAACGCCCCGCAAGGGGAGUGGCAGACGGGUGAGUAACGCGUGGGAAUCUACCCAUCUCUGCGGAACAACUCCGGGAAACUGGAGCUAAUACCGCAUACGCCCUUCGGGGGAAAGAUUUAUCGGGGAUGGAUGAGCCCGCGUUGGAUUAGCUAGUUGGUGGGGUAAAGGCCUACCAAGGCGACGAUCCAUAGCUGGUCUGAGAGGAUGAUCAGCCACAUUGGGACUGAGACACGGCCCAAACUCCUACGGGAGGCAGCAGUGGGGAAUAUUGGACAAUGGGCGCAAGCCUGAUCCAGCCAUGCCGCGUGAGUGAUGAAGGCCUUAGGGUUGUAAAGCUCUUUCACCGAUGAAGAUAAUGACGGUAGUCGGAGAAGAAGCCCCGGCUAACUUCGUGCCAGCAGCCGCCGUAAGAC